UUCACUUCUUGGCCUUUUGGCUAAGAUCAAGUGUAGUAUCUGUUCUUAUCAGUUUAAUAUCUGAUACGUCCCCUAUCUGGGGACCAUAUAUUAAACUGAUUUUUGCAACAAGAAAAUGGAAUAGGGGCUUGCUCUGUUCACUCCACGCAUCGAUCAGUGACAAUACUUCUAGUAAAACAGAAAAUGUGACAUGUUU
ensembl:snRNA U2 U2 spliceosomal RNA